AUGAACGCUGGCGGCGUGGAUGAGUCAUGCAAGUCAAGGGGGCCCGCAAGGGCAACCGGCGAACGAGGUAGUAACACGUAGGUACACACCCUUUAGUCAGGAAUAGCUAGUCGAAAGAUUAGGUAAUACUUGAUAGUCUCUUCGGAGUAAAGAUUUAUCGCUAAAGGAGUGGCCUGCGGAAGUAUCAGCUUGUUGGUAGUGUAAUGGACUACCAAGGCUAUGACGCUUAGGGGAGCUGAGAGGCUGACCCCCACCGAUGAUACUGAGACACGGAUCAUACACCUACGGGUGGCUGCAGACGAGAAUAUUCCGCAAUGGACGAAAGUCUGACGGAGCGACGCCGCGUGAUGGAUGAAGACCCUCUGGGUUGUAAACAUCUUUUGUGAGGGAGAAAGUUUAUUGAUAGUACCUCAAGAAUAAGGGGUUGCUAAACUCGU
rnacentral:rRNA from 1 species